rnacentral:rRNA from 1 species
UGACUGCGUACCUUUUGUAUAAUGGGUCAGCGACUUAUAUUCUGUAGCAAGGUUAACCGCAUAGGGGAGCCGGAGGGAAACCGAGUCUUAACUGGGCGUUAAGUUGCAGGGUAUAGACCCGAAACCCGGUGAUCUAGCCAUGGGCAGGUUGAAGGUUGGGUAACACUAACUGGAGGACCGAACCGACUAAUGUUGAAAAAUUAGCGGAUGACCUGUGGCUGGGGGUGAAAGGCCAAUCAAACCGGGAGAUAGCUGGUUCUCCCCGAAAGCUAUUUAGGUAGCGCCUCGUGAAUUCAUCUCCGGGGGUAGAGCACUGUUUCGGCUAGGGGGCCAUCCCGGCUUACCAACCCGAUGCAAACUGCGAAUACCGGAGAAUGUUAUCACGGGAGACACACGGCGGGUGCUAACGUCCGUCGUGAAGAGGGAAACAACCCAGACCGCCAGCUAAGGUCCCAAAGUCAUGGUUAAGUGGGAAACGAUGUGGGAAGGCCCAGACAGCCAGGAUGUUGGCUUAGAAGCAGCCAUCAUUUAAAGAAAGCGUAAUAGCUCACUGGUCGAGUCGGCCUGCGCGGAAGAUGUAACGGGGCUAAACCAUGCACCGAAGCUGCGGCAGCGACGCUGAUGCGUUGUUGGGUAGGGGAGCGUUCUGUAAGCCUGUGAAGGUGGCCUGUGAGGGUUGCUGGAGGUAUCAGAAGUGCGAAUGCUGACAUAAGUAACGAUAAAGCGGGUGAAAAGCCCGCUCGCCGGAAGACCAAGGGUUCCUGUCCAACGUUAAUCGGGGCAGGGUGAGUCGACCCCUAAGGCGAGGCCGAAAGGCGUAGUCGAUGGGAAACGGGUUAAUAUUCCCGUACUUGGUGUUACUGCGAAGGGGGGACGGAGAAGGCUAUGUUGGCCGGGCGACGGUUGUCCCGGUUUAAGCGUGUAGGUGUGUGUUCCAGGUAAAUCCGGUUCACUUUAACACUGAGGCGUGAUGACGAGGCACUACGGUGCUGAAGCAACAAAUGCCCUGCUUCCAGGAAAAGCCUCUAAGCAUCAGGUAACAUCAAAUCGUACCCCAAACCGACACAGGUGGUCAGGUAGAGAAUACCAAGGCGCUUGAGAGAACUCGGGUGAAGGAACUAGGCAAAAUGGUGCCGUAACUUCGGGAGAAGGCACGCUGACACGUAGGUGAAGUGAUUUACUCACGGAGCUGAAGUCAGUCGAAGAUACCAGCUGGCUGCAACUGUUUAUUAAAAACACAGCACUGUGCAAACACGAAAGUGGACGUAUACGGUGUGACGCCUGCCCGGUGCCGGAAGGUUAAUUGAUGGGGUCAGCGCAAGCGAAGCUCCUGAUCGAAGCCCCGGUAAACGGCGGCCGUAACUAUAACGGUCCUAAGGUAGCGAAAUUCCUUGUCGGGUAAGUUCCGACCUGCACGAAUGGCGUAAUGAUGGCCAGGCUGUCUCCACCCGAGACUCAGUGAAAUUGAACUCGCUGUGAAGAUGCAGUGUACCCGCGGCAAGACGGAAAGACCCCGUGAACCUUUACUAUAGCUUGACACUGAACAUUGAGCCUUGAUGUGUAGGAUAGGUGGGAGGCUUUGAAGUGUGGACGCCAGUCUGCAUGGAGCCGACCUUGAAAUACCACCCUUUAAUGUUUGAUGUUCUAACGUGGACCCGUAAUCCGGGUUGCGGACAGUGUCUGGUGGGUAGUUUGACUGGGGCGGUCUCCUCCUAAAGAGUAACGGAGGAGCACGAAGGUUGGCUAAUCCUGGUCGGACAUCAGGAGGUUAGUGCAAUGGCAUAAGCCAGCUUGACUGCGAGCGUGACGGCGCGAGCAGGUGCGAAAGCAGGUCAUAGUGAUCCGGUGGUUCUGAAUGGAAGGGCCAUCGCUCAACGGAUAAAAGGUACUCCGGGGAUAACAGGCUGAUACCGCCCAAGAGUUCAUAUCGACGGCGGUGUUUGGCACCUCGAUGUCGGCUCAUCACAUCCUGGGGCUGAAGUAGGUCCCAAGGGUAUGGCUGUUCGCCAUUUAAAGUGGUACGCGAGCUGGGUUUAGAACGUCGUGAGACAGUUCGGUCCCUAUCUGCCGUGGGCGCUGGAGAACUGAGGGGGGCUGCUCCUAGUACGAGAGGACCGGAGUGGACGCAUCACUGGUGUUCGGGUUGUCAUGCCAAUGGCACUGCCCGGUAGCUAAAUGCGGAAGAGAUAAGUGCUGAAAGCAUCUAAGCACGAAACUUGCCCCGAGAUGAGUUCU